GUGCACCAGGCGCGAAUCUUUAGCAAUGCCCGAAAGGGUGACUAUGCGACGCCGCGUGAGCGAUGAAGUCCUUCGGGACGUAAAGCUCUGUCAGGUGGGAUGAAUCUUUCGACCUUAACAGGGUUGGAAUUUGACCGUACACCGAGAGGAAGCCACGGCUAACUCCGUGCCAGCAGCCGCGGUAAGUACGGAGGCGGCAAGCGUUGUUCGGAUUUAUGGGUGUAAAAGGCAUGUAGGUGUCCUAGUAAGUCCUGGCUGAAAAUCCUUCGGCUCAACCGAAGAACGUGUCAGGAAACUGCUGGGAUUGAGUACGGAAGAGGAGAACGGAAUUCCCGGUGUAAGGGUGAAAUCUGUAGAUAUCGGGAGGAACACCGAAGUGG
rnacentral:rRNA from 1 species